GCGAGAUGAGACAAAGCAGCACCGCAGGUCUUUAUGUGGGACAAAAAGCAAAUUUUCAGGUGAGUGUGCGGAUGCGAGCGCGACACACUUCUUUCAUGUGCAGACUGACGGGCCGUACCAUCAGCGAGAGCCUAUGCGGUGAGGUGGCCAUGAUGGAUGGCUGCAUGAAAAGAGCGAGAUCCCAUCUGGGUCAGAUCUUAUCAGGAUGACUGAUUCGCAUUGAUGAAAUCACGCCGGCUUGUUAACCUGGCCAGCGGAAGAAAGUAAAACAGCGCAAAAGAAGGCAAAAUCAGAAAAGCCAAGGGACCAUAUGAAGAACAGAAAAGGUCAGGGGAAUAAUGAACAGUGGGGGGCAGCAUGAGAAAUUUCGGUGAUUAAUCGUGACGUUGAGUUGGCAGGGGAUGGAUUGAGAUAAUAGGAGCUGACUGGAGAGAAGAAACAAAUGGAAAUGAGGAAGAUUGAAACAUCCAGACGAUAAAACGGAGCUAAAAAGCUGAAAGAGUUUCAUCCUUUGUCUGACAGAGAGAAUGAUGGGAAAUGUACUCAUCUAGUUCAUUAGCAUGUGUCUGGUGCUUGUAACUGUUGUGUCUCCAACAGUCUUCAAAACCCUCAACACGAGAUAGAAAUGACACCUUUUUUUGCUGCGUAACCACAGCACAGGAAAUUGGCAAGGAUCUUCUCUCAACUCUCUUCCAACAGUCCUGCAAAGACAAUCUAGACACCCAAACCCGCCUCUCCUCACUACGCAUAUUCGAGUCUUAGGGUUUAGUCGAGGCGUGCUUGUGCAAAGGUGGCUGAGUGUGAGAAUCGGCAAGACGUUCUUAGCUAUUCAUUCCAUUGUGCUCCUGAUUGAUAUUGAGCUCUGAAAACGUCAGGAUUUAUUGGACCGAGCUGUUAUCAGAAACUUUUAUUCCACAGCCACAGAUACGAUGCUGGGAACGUCAGUCUCCUGAGGUUCAACUGAAAGCGCUCGUUUCAGGACUCUGAAGUCCACCUCAUCCAGAGGAGCAGCUCUGGGUGUUGUAGGCGAGGGCAAAUGUUGCAUCAAGCAGUCAUGUUUGCACAGCAGCUUUCCUUGGAGAGGCUGGAGCCAUCCGGUGGGAGUCACCUGUAUUAGUCAACGCUGGAAACCACUCUGAGGGCCACAAGAUCGAGCCCUUUUCUCCACGCCGCUUUGGUGGGCAGCAUCACAAAACACCGCGCUGAGCAGAGACUGCUACAAAUGGAGUGGACUCAUUUACACGAUGCCUAUUGGUUAACUCUACGGUAUCUGCAUGACUCCAAGACAGGCAAAUCAACCGGAGCAGAGAAGGUCUGAACCAGGAGAAACAGCUUUUGUUCAAUGACGCAAAGAUGGCUGCGGCGAGCUGCUUCGCUUCAAGGAAAGAAAUACAGUUUGAAACAUAAAGACAGAGGUUAGAAAGCUUAAUUGAUUACCUGUUAACUGUUAAUCAAUAAUUCUAAUGUGUCAUUCUGUGAUGGUAGGUAAUUUAGAAUAAAAAACUGAAACCAGAAGCUUUUUCCUCUCAGAUUUGGAAUUUAGUAAACAAGGAAGAAACAUGAAAAUUGGCAGGAAUUAAAAAAAAUAAAAAAGAAAAAAAA